rnacentral:rRNA from 1 species
AAAGUGAAUAGUGAAACCUGGUGGCUCAACCAUACAGACUAUUAUUCAAACUCACUAACUCGAGAAUGGUAGAGGUAACUGGAAUUUCUUGUGUAGGAGUGAAAUCCGUAGAUAUAAGAAGGAACACCAAUGGCGUAGGCAGGUUACUGGACCAUUUCUGACACUGAGGCACGAAAGCGUGGGGAGCGAACCGGAUUAGAUACCCGGGUAGUCCACGCCGUAAACUAUGGAUACUA